AAUAUAUCAAUAUCUUUCUUAAAGAUAAAAAAGGAGUUUUCUUUGAGAAUUUGCAUUUGUGAAUAUAAAAUUUAGCAAGGAGAAGCAGCAGGUUAAGAAUAAAUCUAAAGUGACAAGGGUCUAAUCUCAUAAACAGAAAUUUACAGAAAGAUAUCUUUUAACAAAAUUUGAAAAGUCAACCCAAAAUAUUUUGCAGUAUAUACGUAACAUUCCCAAAAUAAAUAAAGGAUUGUCUCAUCAUCAGCCUGAAGACAAAAGGUGCACAAGGGGGAAAUAUUAUUAUUGAAUUUAGCAAAGUUAUAAUUAACUGGGUAGCUAGCAAUUGUGAAUAAUUUUAAAAGAAAUCUCAACAAAUUUAUUAGGUAAAAAUCUUCCCAUACUAUAUCAUCAAAUUUGUUUUUCCAAAGCGAGCAUCACUUAAUGAGAGUCAGGCCGCCUGCGUGAUGAACUGCUCGUUGUUUGGCUCUCGCGAGAGCUACGUUGCUGCAACAAAAAAUCUCGCGAGACCUUCAAGCCGGGUACACCAGUGGUUCAUAUGUAAAAAACCCUCAAGAUUACUGUUUCCCCUCAAGAUGCGCGUAGAAUUUAAACUGAUUUUGCGAUUUCGUUGCCUUUCAGCUCUACUCGUGCGAGCGAGUGGACGGGUUUGCAGCACUUUCUAAAAAGCAGUUGAGACAUUCGACCGUAGCUGUAAAGUACCCGUCAAGUCUCAAAAUAAUAGAGGCCUGGAUCUGCUCCAUUUCACCAGCUGGAAGGUGUUGAUUGGACCUUUUUUGGGGAACCAAGCAAGCUACAGCUCUGCUAUAGUUGGUAAAUGCAUCAAAAGAUGGAUGAUUUACUGGACAAACGGCGUAAAGCUAGCUUUCACCAUACUCCCGUGUAACGAAAACACAGACAUGCCUCAUUUCAGUCCCACGAUAUGCAUUCACUUACUGUCACAAUACCCGUAAUCACACAGAAGCACUUUUUUCAACGCAGAGAACUGCACCACACUGUGCUCCUGUAUACUGCUGUGAGUGAGAUCUUCAUUAGAAACCUUGAGCCCUUCACCAGGAUCUGUGCCAGAAAACACAUUUGUCUCUCUCCUACUUUCCCUAAUUCUCCAGACAUAUUCCACUCUUUCUUUUCCCCCUCUCCCUCCUCUUUUCCUCCCCAAAGUUGGCUUCCUUUGCCCUCGUUCCUCGGCAUCAGCUGAAGACCCAGCAAGGCCCCCAUACACAAUGAGCUUUAAUUGGGUUAAGUUUGUCCGCCACAGAUAACAUUUCUCUUUCUGUGGAGAAUAAAACAAAUUGCUGGCACUAAUGGCACUGUUUAAUGUAGCUCUUUUUAUUAUGGAUGGAGGAAAUUAGGAGGAGACUCCCAACAGAGCGCCAAUGUCGUGGGAGUGAGUGCAUUGUUGCAGCUCAUCAGAAAAGCGUUUUUGCUGGAGCGCCGGCCUCCUUGCCUUCGUUGCUCGUCUUUCUCUUUUUCCCUCUUUUGAGUAUUUUCGGAAAUACUGCAACACUAAAGGACGAAGGUGUUCAAAUUUUUUCGCACGCCAACCAUACCUGUUCUGUGUCCAUUGUUUAUUAUUUUCAUGGUUUAAUGCCCUUAGUUCUUAAAGCUGGUUUGUCUUUGUGUAAGUCUGGGGCAAGAGCCAGUGAAAAGGGGGCUAUGAGGGGGGCUUGCUAUUGAAGUUUUGGCACAUGACACGGUUGGGCUAAAAACCCUGAAAUUCGUUUUCCGUAGCUUUCGUUCUGAAGAGGGUCUCCUUUUAAAGUCAGACGUGUCGCCGCAUCGAGCUAAUGGGUUGUGAGGACAGAUGCACACCCUGGCAUUUAACACGCCAACACCUGAGAGUGUUUGGAAGACAAUCAGCAGUAAAAAUGUAAUGUUCAAUCUGGAUUUUUAUGGUGGCUAAUCAGGACUGAUGAAGUAGAGGGUACAUUAAAGUGCAGCCGAGCGGUCAGCCCCAAUCUGCGUUCCUGCUCUGCACCUCUCCCUUGUGUGCCCGCGUGCAGUCGGAUUCAGCACCGCCGUCCAACGGCUGUCUGGGUCACUAUAACAAACAAACGUGCUGUUUUAUGCCCCGUACUUAUAUGGAAUCCAGAAUGAGGCAAGGACAAUUAAUGCUGUGUGAUGGCAUAUUUCAGUAAUCCUGCAUUUGGAUGAUAUACAUGUCGAGGCAAUUAAAAUUUUGCUAUAAGCUCCUGGCAGCGCUCUCUUCUUUUCUCCCGUGCUUUUAUUAU